AACGAACGCUGGCGGCAGGCCUAACACAUGCAAGUCGAGCGAGCAUUUCGGUGCUAGCGGCGGACGGGUGAGUAACGCGUGGGAACGUGCCCUUUUCUGCGGAAUAGUCCUGGGAAACUGGGGGUAAUACCGCAUACGCCCUUUUGGGGAAAGAUUUAUCGGAGAAGGAUCGGCCCGCGUUGGAUUAGGCAGUUGGUGGGGUAAUGGCCCACCAAGCCGACGAUCCAUAGCUGGUUUGAGAGGAUGAUCAGCCACACUGGGACUGAGACACGGCCCAGACUCCUACGGGAGGCAGCAGUGGGGAAUCUUAGACAAUGGGGGCAACCCUGAUCUAGCCAUGCCGCGUGAGUGAUGAAGGCCUUAGGGUUGUAAAGCUCUUUCAGCUGGGAAGAUAAUGACGGUACCAGCAGAAGAAGCCCCGGCUAACUCCGUG
rnacentral:rRNA from 1 species